rnacentral:misc_RNA from 1 species
GAAAUGCGAUAAGUAGUGUGAAUUGCAGAAUUUAGCGAAUCAUCGAAUCUUUGAACGCACAUUGCGCCCCUUGGUAUUCCAUGGGGCAUGCCUGUUCGAGCGUCAUUUCAACCCUCAAGCACUGCUUGGUGUUGGGCGCUUGUCCCGCCUACGCGCGUGGACUCGCCUCAAAGUCAUUGGCAGCUGUUCCCCUUCGGCUCGUAAGCGCAGCACAGUCGGCGCCCGGAGCUCUGGUGGGAUGGCGUCCAGCAAGCUAUAUUUUCAGGCUUGACCUCGGAUCAGGUAGGGAUACCCGCUGAACUUAAGC